rnacentral:lncRNA from 1 species
CACCACAGUGCCUAAGUCAGGAACAGGAGUGAAUUGACCUCUUAACCCUUUCCCCACUGGGGGAUUAGACUCAGUUUCCUGUUCCUUCUCCUCUAGAACCAGUUCCAUCCUGCUUGGUGGGGGGGGGAGGCACCCUGGAGGACGUGGCCAGAGCCCCCCCCCUCCUGGGGGGGAGGCCUGGAGGAAGGGGCUUGGCAGGCAGGCGAGAGCCAGGCAGGGAGUGAUAAAUAUUGAAGAGGAGGGAUUUCGUCGCAGGCUUGGAACAGCUGUGGAUGUCACACUAUCUCUCCACAGGUUUACUGACCCAUUUCCAUUCUCGCGGCUGCCGGUCUCCUAGCAACGGCAACAGUCCCCCCAGAACAGGCGGAGAAAUACAACAGCAAAACAGAACCCUCUCUACCUCCACCCUGACCUCUCAGAGAACAUGAGAACCAGACCCAAAAAGUGAGAAAGAAGCAAGGCAGGUCAGGGUACCCGACGCCCCAAGCUCCUGGUGCCAGGAGCCCGUGCCCCCGAGGUGCCGGCCUCCAUGGGAACGGGGGCGCCUGGCC